CCUACGGGUGGCAGCAGUAAGGAAUAUUGGUCAAUGGACGCAAGUCUGAACCAGCCAUGCCGCGUGGAGGAUGAAGGUCCUCUGGAUUGUAAACUUCUUUUAUUUGGGAAGAAACUCCCGAUUUCCAUCGGGAUUGACGGUACCAGAUGAAUAAGCACCGGCUAACUCCGUGCCAGCAGCCGCGGUACUACGGAGGGUGCAGGCGUAACUCGGAUUCACUGGGGUGUAGGUGUGCGUGGGUGGCAGUGGUGAAAUCUCCGGGCUUAACCCGGAAACUGCCAUUGAUACUAUUUGUCUUGAAUACUCUGGAGGUGAGCGGAAUAUGUCAUGUAGCGGUGAAAUGCUUAGAUAUGACAUAGAACACCCAUUGCGAAGGCAGCUCACUACGGAAAUAUUGACGCUGAGGCACGAAAGCGUGGGGAUCAAGCAGGAUUAGAUACCCCAGUAGUC
rnacentral:rRNA from 1 species